rnacentral:lncRNA from 1 species
UUCAAUAUCCUUGAUCACUGUCAUACAAUGCUCAUGGACAGACUGCCCUUCGUGCAUCUUCAGGUUGAAGAGUCUCUUGGAUACUUCGAAGUAUGCAGUAUGGCUCUGCUCACCAUACAACUCUUGUAGGUGAGUAAUCAUGGCCCAGGCAGUGGGCAUAUGCUUGUGUUGAUUUUGUAACUCAUUUGACAUAGAUGCCAGUACAUAGCACUUAACCUGACUAUCUUCAUCCAGCCACUUCUCAAAAGUAGUUCUCUGCUUAGCAGUAGGACGGUUUGGCAAUACAACG